CCUACGGGGUGCAGCAGUCGAGAAUCAUUCACAAUGGGGGAAACCCUGAUGGUGCGACGCCGCGUGGGGGAAUGAAGGUCUUCGGAUUGUAAACCCCUGUCAUGUGGGAGCAAAUUAAAAAGAUAGUACCACAAGAGGAAGAGACGGCUAACUCUGUGCCAGCAGCCGCGGUAAUACAGAGGUCUCAAGCGUUGUUCGGAAUCACUGGGCGUAAGGCGUGCGUAGGCUGUUUCGUAAGUCGUGUGUGAAAGGCGCGGGCUCAACCCGCGGACGGCACAUGAUACUGCGAGACUAGAGUAAUGGAGGGGGAACCGGAAUUCUCGGUGUAGCAGUGAAAUGCGUAGAUAGCGAGAGGAACACUCGUGGCGAAGGCGGGUUCCUGGACAUUAACUGACGCUGAGGCACGAAGGCCAGGGGAGCGAAAGGGAUUAGAUACCCCGGUAGUC
rnacentral:rRNA from 1 species